rnacentral:sRNA from 1 species
GACCUCCACCGCCGCUAACUUCCCUUCGUGCUUGCCGUCGCCCGUCGGCGUCUAGUAGCAGCAGGAAUCAGCGCCGCCUUUUCGCUCCGACCACUCCGGCGUCCUCCGUGAGUCCACCGCGACGGCAAGCGGCUCCCCGCGCGGUACCUCGUCCUACUCCCGCAUCUCCGCCGCGCCGCCGCCUUCUGCACUGCAAUCCAGCCGCCGCGCCGCUGCCUACCGGCUACCUCCACGCCAGAUCGGUCGCCACAAUCAGACCGAUGGUUUAGACCGAACCAUCGGUCUUUGGUUUUCUAUCUUAAAGAAUUUCGGUUUCUUGGCGGUCGCGAUUGCUUCGUGAAGAACUGAAGAGUGAAGACGGUGACCCCGGUUGAUCAGUCAUCACAUUUUGGCUACGGUGGAUUGCUUACCUGUUUGACAUUAUCAUAAACAGUUGAAGGUUCACUAAAAUCAACCACCACUCCAGUUGCUCUGGUCUGAAAGAACAUAAGUUUCAAAUAGCAAACCCGUGAAGUGUAUAACAGUACAACUGUACAAGUGGAUAUAAGCAUUUUAUAGUACAAUGAAGAGGCCAAUACUUGUGCAAUUGAGCCCAGAACCAUUGUGAGAUCAUUGAGCACCGGAAUUUCCAGGGCUUCUUCCAUGCCACUUAUCUAGAAGAACAAUGCCGGCAUUUAUAAACUGUAAGAGACAAAGAACAAGCAGCUAUUGCAGCAGGGAGACAGCCUAAUUACAAGGGAAAUGGCGCAUUGAGUGAAUGGUGAAUACCUCUCCUGCAUCUAGGCCUAUACACUGAGAAUCUAUGGCCCCUGCAAGCUCCAUUCCCCUUGCUUUACUUACUGCCGCUAUUGCCGUUCUUCCAAUCUCUUUUGUCGCCCCAAUGAUAACAACCUUUUCAAUAUACCACCAGAUUUUGCCUUCAGAGGAAGUUGCAGUGCUAUUAGAGAAGAACAUUCAUAAUGUCAUAACCCACAGUACCUUGAUUGUGCUCUGAGAUGGCGGCAUCUGCGUUGAGCAGAGGACCUUUGCUGCAUUUCUCCUGCCAAUCUUUCCGAAUGUUCUGGUAUGAGCAGAGUGGCAUAAAGUAGCCAUGAUUUUGUUCUGAAGACUGAGCUUACAUGAAAGGGAGGUUCAGGUAGUUAUGUUCUCUCUAUUUCUGUUCGCCUGACCUUGAGCUAUCUUAUCCUGUUAUGAACGC